CGGGACGGGUGAGUAACGCGUGGAUAACCUGCCUCACACUGGGGGAUAACAGUUAGAAAUGGCUGCUAAUACCGCAUAAGCGCACAGUACCGCAUGGUACGGUGUGAAAAACCCAGGUGGUGUGAGAUGGAUCCGCGUCUGAUUAGCCAGUUGGCGGGGUAACGGCCCACCAAAGCGACGAUCAGUAGCCGACCUGAGAGGGUGACCGGCCACACUGGGACUGAGACACGGCCCAA
rnacentral:rRNA from 1 species